UGUCCCGGGAUGGACCCCACGGCCCCCCUCCUUCCCUUUCGCCGCCCACACCGCCGCCAUCGUUGCAUUUAAUACUAAUAGCCAACGUGUAGCUAGCGCUUCGUUCUGCUCUGGCUGCGCCCCUUAGUCUCGCUCACUCCUCAGAACGACCCUCUUCCUCUCCCACUUUACAGAUAAGGACAUAGAGCUCCGAGAAGCGAAGCGACCAGACCCAGCCUUCCGGCGAGGGUAGAGGUGGGAUCCUGGCCACCGAGCGGAGACCCCUCCCCUUCGGCUGAGCCCCGGGGCGGGAUGUUAGCUUUCGUCUCCGGAUCCCGGCUUGCACUAACCCCCAAAGGAAAUGUGUGGUGGAGGACUGAGUGACCCCCUGGCCUGAGCAGGGCGGCUCGCCUUCCUGUCCUUUCGUUUCUCCCUCUCUGAAGGCUGGAAGCUGGCCGGCUGAACUCUUGAGAGUCAGAGUGGCUGAAGAAAGGGGAGGAAUCAGAUCAUAGGCGCUGUGGGUCCAGAAACACCAGGACUCAGCUGGGUUUCUCUCUGGCAGCUGUGGGCAAGUGACCUCUCUAUUCAGCACCUCGGCUUCUUCAGCUGCCAAAUGGGGUUGGUAAGAGCCCAACCCAGGCAAGUGAAGUAGGGGGUCCGUGUAGAAAGGCAGGGUGCCCACCACAGGUCCUUCCCACCUGAGGGGCUGAGGAAACAUCCCCUCCUUCCCCCUAGGAAGACCAAAGCUACUAUGGGGGUGGAGGGAAGCCCUUUGUAGGGACCUCCCUGCCCAGAAAUGACUGACCUUGGCCUGACCUCAUUGCUAACACCUUGCUCAGGCCCAGGGUAGCCCUGUAGCUGACCCUUUGGUUUCCUCCCCUUCCUGCUUUCCUUGCCCCCAAGUUGUCAAUGCCAAGCAUAAAUAUGCAGGUGACCAGCUUGCUCAGUUUUCUGGAGCACCCCCCUCCCUGCUCCAUAAGAUCCAAGAACACCCCACCCCCCAAGGUCGCACACACCUGUCCUCACUCCUGGCAAGUUCAUUCUUCCUUGGCUGCCCCCCCCCCCAUUCAACUUUAUAAAUCCUGUCCAGGAGUUACCUUCUCUGGCCCUUGCCUCUCCUUUUUGUCUUUUGCAGGUGCGCCUGACACGCACUUCGUGUCCCCGCCCCCCCACUGUAGAGUGGUUUGUUAUCAUCUACCUAGCUGUCUCCCCCUACUGGAGUGUGAACUCUUGGAGGGCUGACAUCUUUAAUUCGGGACUUCGCUUCCCUCCCCCAUGUCUAGCGCAGGGAUGACACCCAAUUAAUACCUAGUGAAUUGAUUGGAGAGUGUGUGCAGAGGUAUAGCUGGGGACACUUCCAGGACGCUGGGCAGGAGUAUGGAAGACGCCUUUCUCCAUUAUCUUGCCCCCAUCCACACUCCUCUUCCGCUAGCCCGGGUCCCAUCUUCUCCAGGACCAAGCCCAGAGAGGGAUUCAGCGGCCUUCUAGCUCAGGUACCCUCUCCCACCGUUUCUCUGAUUGGGCCAGACCUGUCCCAUCCCGUCACUCCUUAAGGGCCCCACUCGCAUCGUUGCCCUUUUAAGAAAGAGGAAAUUCUUCUCAUAAACAAGCGCCUCAACCUGAGCGCGGAGCUUGCCCCGCCGGAUCCCUGGGCAAUCGAGGGUGCUUCCAGGCACAAAACCCGCUCCAGGCUCACCCCAGGGCAAAGGCCUGGGGGCCCCUUCUGGUCACCUCUCUCCGCAGCUCCAGGGCAGUGGUCAGAAGGACCCGACGAGGCCGGAGGAGGGACUUGGGGGAGCCUAGAAACAGCCCAGGGAGCGUCUGUAAAGUGCAACCCUUGCACCGGGCGAAGGGGUGCCGGGCGGCUCCCAGCGGCCAAGGGGGUUCCCCGCCCACACAGCUCCCCUCCACCCUCCGCCUCCCCCCACCUUCCGAAGCCCCGGGGCGCGAAGUCGGAGCGCUUGCCUCCAGCUCUUGGGCCGGGAGGGAGUGAGGGCGCUCGGGACCGUCCCUGCCCCUAGGGGGAGCUGGGAGUCAGCACCCAGGGAGCGUUAAGUGCGCGGCGUGGGAGUCCCGGCCGCCCAGUCCCCUGGGGAAAUGGCAAAUGAAUUGGGCCUCGGAGGCACGACUCUUGGGUUCCAUGACCUGGCGCCUGAAGAGAAGUCUGCGCCUUGGUUUUACGGCCUGGAAAGUGGGUUAGUUUGAAGCUACUCUAGGAACUGACGUUCGAAUGGGGUGGGGGGCGGGGAGGACUCUUCUACUGGUCCAAGGAUUUUGUCCUUUCCCUGUUUCUACUUUCCAGCGCCUUUGGAUGAGAAGUAGACUAGCAUUUAUUGAGCAUUCAUCAAGCUAAUCAGACCAUCGUAAGUGCCAGUUUGAUGCCUGUGUCCCGCCCCCAAAUGGGUCCGUUUGUCAGGUCACUCCUAUAGGCCCACAAUAAAUAUUUUUGGAGUUACUAUUA